ensembl:lncRNA
UAAUGACAUGAGUAAGUGAUGUAUCAAAUUUGGCACUGUGCUGACAACUUCUCGAGGCUAUGAAAAACGUCUGGGAAACCUUUCGAACAGCAGGGGGCGUCACCGUACAGGGAAGCUACUGAAGAUCCAGAGGAUUAGUAAAGAAAUGAAGCGACUCCUCUCUAAACCCUGCAAUCCACUGCAUAAGGGACUUGUCCUGUCGCCCAUAAAUGAGUCAACAUGCACAGAUCACAGAAAUGUCCCAACAGCUGCUACCCAGAGGAACAGAACGCUUGAGUCGAAAGACGCUGUGAGUGAAAACAUGAAUUUAACCAGUUUGAUUCAGCAUCGAUUUACUCUCCACCCCAUUUUCUCUUUUCAGGUGGCCGCACCCAAUUCAAGCACCGAUGACUCUUCCAAUUUUCCAGAAGGUGUUUCUUCCCAACUGACAGAUGGGACUGACUCAGGUGAUACUAGUACCAGCAGUGUGCAGUCGCCGGAGGUGUUCCGAAGAGGGGAUGUCUACGGUGUGUUUGUCUUUACUGCCCUGGUGCAGCCCUGGUACAGCCCUGGUGCAGUCGAAAAACCCCACAGGGACAGUAACACAAGCUGCAUUCACCUAAUGUGGACAUGUUGCCGAUACCCACAAAGAACAAUCAGCGUGAACAUAAGGGUUAGGUUUAGGGCCACUGUAAGAAGAACUGGCUGAGGGCCCAUGCCCUGAGAAGUUCAGUGACAGGGGCUUAUUAUUGCCAUAAUCUUUUGCCAUUUAGAAGAGAUGGUGGUCUUCCCGAGAGAGGUGUUGGACCUGCAUGUAAAGAACUCGACUCUCCUAGAUGUUAGCCAUGCUGAGAACAUCAACAUGCAGCAGCCUCCUAACCUGUCUUCCAUAGUAGACAUCUCCCAAAUGACACAGGCAAUAGAUCAGGAAAUAAGCCAGCUAGCACUGCCCAUUAGGUGGACAUCUUCGGAUAAGCUGUUCAAUUCCAUGGAAAAAACACCUCUAGCUGAAAGAGCAACUGUGCCC